rnacentral:misc_RNA from 1 species
AAGUCGUAACAAGGUAACCGUAGGUGAACCUGCGGUUGGAUCAUUAACAAUAUUAUGAUCGGGAUCGAUGUUGAGUUUCUGGGAGUGAUUGGAUUCAGUUCCUCCUCCUGUGCUCAUCAUCUGACCCAACACCCCAACAUCUUUGUGAACUGUCUUACCCUUUGUUUGGAUGGUGGUUUCCAUUGUCCAGACAAUACCAACAUAUUGCAUUUUUUUGUCAUCCAUACACAAUUUCUUUGAAAAAGAAACAACUUUUGGCAACGGAUCUCUUGGCUCUC